UCGAGUUUAUAAUCUAAAAUAUGUAUAUCAGAGUUUUGUUUUAAAAUUGAAAGUUUUCUUACGAUUCCAUGAUAUUUGAUAGACUGUAUAAAAACAACAGGAUAUGGCAUAUAACUUCUUGGGAUUUCUCAAAUAUUUUUGACUGGUCUCAUCAUGUGUCCACAUUGUUCAUUUAGGGGCUGAUAUAUAGAGGCGAAUUUAGAGAAAUGCAAGCCCAGCAGACUUUUCACCCUUAGGAUAAUAUAUUAAAGUCUCCAAAAAGGACUAUAGCAGGCAGAAGAAAGCAUAUUCCCUAGAUGAGCAUCAAGAGUCGAGUCGAUGUAGCCUUUUCUGUCCGUCCGUCUAUUUGAAUACCUAGAGCUUGGAAACUAUUAGUUCGAAAGCCACAAAAAUUAAUUUAUAAUAUGUAGACUUGUAAAGUAUCCACGCUGAUCAAGUUUAUGGCAAUAACCUUCCUCGUCGAAAUUUCGACCAAAAUUUAAUGUAUUGCAAUCAAACUCGGCAUAUUAAUUUUAUAUUGUAAUAUCUAUAUAUAUCCCAAAUUUAAAAUCGGACCGUACACAGCCAAGUCAAUAAUAUAGCGAAGCCGUCACUCACUCGCCCACUUUUUGCUUUUUGCAAUCCUUUGCGUUUCUCAAAGUCGUUCCUCGAUUCGCUUUUAUGUAGCUCCACUUGCAUAUGCUUGGAAACAAGUCAAAUUAAAUUUAUCAGAUGUGGCAUUCUCUUACAUUAAACUUGUAAUAGGAAUUUUGAAAAAAAAUUUGACAACGAUGGCUAUGAAAAUCAAGAUGUAGACAAUUUUAUACAAAAGCUACAUACAUAUAGCUAUUUCAAUUGUGGCCGGAUCCAGUCCCGGGGGUCUGUACACCCCCAGAAUUUCAAUAUUUCGCAAAAUUUUUGAUAUUUUUUUUAUCUUUUUGUAAAAUAGUAAGUUUUCGAAAUGGUCGUGCAAUUUCGAUAAAUCCUUAUACUGAAAAUGUCUUUAUCAAAAUCAAGUAAAUGCCUCCCUCAAAAAUUCUCGAAUUCUUCAAGCCAAAAGUCUCAGAUUUUUGAUCGGUCCAAAUCCGAUUUCGAAAUUUUAUUACAAAUCGAAAUCGAUACUUGACCUACAAAUGCCAGCCUUUUGGCUCAAAGUGUUUAUGUUAUGAUACACACAGACAGAUAGAGUGCCAAUCAAAUAUGACUGUAUAAAAUCGUCUCAGCAUGCUGAAUGUAUAUAUUUACAUAUGUGUACAUAUACCAGCCAAAGUAGAGAACUCAAGCCCUGGCUUUAAGAAAACAUAAUAUCUUGCCAUAUAUUCCUUCAAUUGGCCAAAAGUGACACACACAAGUUCAACCAAGCCAAGGAGACACCCACGUGUAAACACACAUUCAGAAUGCAAUACUCAUUGAUGUAUUUAUAAGUCAGAGAACCUAACUUCGAUCCAUGCCGGAAUUGGAAUACACUUUCGCAUUGAAUGAGGACUCAAGAAGAAGAUUAAUAAAGAAAAACACGCAUUAUAAGAUGAGGUUUGCUAAUUAAAUGACAAAAGACAACAAACUGAA